GACGAACGCUGGCGGCGUGCUUAACACAUGCAAGUCGAACGGAAAGGCCCUGCUUUUGUGGGGUGCUCGAGUGGCGAACGGGUGAGUAACACGUGAGUAACCUGCCCUUGACUUUGGGAUAACUUCAGGAAACUGGGGCUAAUACCGGAUAGGAGCUCCUGCUGCAUGGUGGGGGUUGGAAAGUUUCGGCGGUUGGGGAUGGACUCGCGGCUUAUCAGCUUGUUGGUGGGGUAGUGGCUUACCAAGGCUUUGACGGGUAGCCGGCCUGAGAGGGUGACCGGGCACAAUGGGACUGAGAUACGGCCCCGACCCCUACGGGGGGCAGCAGGGGGGAAUAUUGCACAAUGGGCGGAAGCCCGAUGCAACAACGCCGCGGGGGGGAAGAAGGCCUUUGGGUUGUAAACCGCUUUCGCCUGUGACGAAGCGUGAGUGACGGUAAUGGGUAAAGAAGCACCGGCUAACUACGUG
rnacentral:rRNA from 1 species